rnacentral:rRNA from 1 species
CUCGUAGGCGGUUCGUCGCGUCCGGUGUGAAAGUCCAUCGCCUAACGGUGGAUCUGCGCCGGGUACGGGCGGGCUGGAGUGCGGUAGGGGAGACUGGAAUUCCCGGUGUAACGGUGGAAUGUGUAGAUAUCGGGAAGAACACCAAUGGCGAAGGCAGGUCUCUGGGCCGUUACUGACGCUGAGGAGCGGAAGCGUGGGGAGCGAACA